rfam:Lactobacillus namurensis DSM 19117 NODE_122, whole genome shotgun sequence.
AUCUAACACUAGGGGUGCCCGUCACGGGCUGAGAUGCAGAGCUGCGAUCCCUUGGAACCUGUUCAAGUUAAGACUUGCGAAGGGAACGUGUUUUGUGGAAACA